UAAUACGUAGGGUGCGAGCGUUAAUCGGAAUUACUGGGCGUAAAGCGUGCGCAGGCGGCUUCGCAAGUCAGGCGUGAAAUCCCCGGGCUUAACCUGGGAAUUGCGCUUGAAACUACGGUGCUGGAGUGCGGCAGAGGAAGGUGGAAUUCCACGUGUAGCGGUGAAAUGCGUAGAGAUGUGGAGGAACACCAAUGGCGAAGGCAGCCUUCUGGGUCGACACUGACGCUCAUGCACGAAAGCGUGGGGAGCAAACAGGAUUAGAUACCCUGGUAGUCCACGCCCUAAACGAUGUCUACUAGUUGUUGGGGGAGUUAAAUCCCUUAGUAACGCAGCUAACGCGCGAAGUAGACCGCCUGGGGAGUACGGUCGCAAGAUUA
rnacentral:rRNA from 1 species